UACGGAGGAUCCAAGCGUUAUCCGGAUUUAUUGGGGUUAAAGGGUGCGUAGGCGGCCUAUUAAGUCAGGGGUGAAAGACGGUAGCUUAACUAUCGCAGUGCCUUUGAUACUGAUGGGCUUGAAUACACUAGAGGUAGGCGGAAUGUGACAAGUAGCGGUGAAAUGCAUAGAUAUGUCACAGAACACCAAUUGCGAAGGCAGCUUACUAUGGUGCAAUUGACGCUGAGGCACGAAAGCGUGGGGAUCAAACAGG
rnacentral:rRNA from 1 species